rnacentral:lncRNA from 1 species
UUUAUAAAGAAACGUUAAUGCAAUUAAAUCUAUUCUCAGGUAAAAUAUAUUCGUAACUUUUAAUUCCAUAAAAUCCCGUAGGAAGGGAGUAAUACAGUAAGUGAAACAAGUUUUGCAUAUGUUUUGACCCAUGGAGAGAGGUUCGUUGCCAAAGUUGAAAGGUUGAAGAAGAUGCAAAUUAUUGAUGGAUACAGCCAUACAUUUUAAGUGCUAGAUUUCUGAGUCCAUGUCCGUUUUUAGCGCCCACCAGUCAGUCAACCUCCUCUACAUUCUCAAUUGUACAAAAUACGACCGCCUCUAUUUUUUUUAUCCUUUGUUUUUGUUUGGUUCAAGGGUUUAGUUAGGUAGGAGAGAAUCAUCAAUCAUCAGUUCAACAUUCAGCAUCUCACACCGACCUCCUACUAAGAUUUGUGUAAGAUUUAAGGUACGUUGAUUUCAAACCACAAGAGUUUAAUUCAUUCGUAUACUUCAUUUCAUAUAAAUUUAACGAACAAUAUCAAGUGGGGUGAUCUAGUCUGGACUAAAGAAUUUUCUAUGAAUUCAGUCUUCCUAUCAUUCAUUUCUCGACUACUCAAAUUCACCGGCACAGACUCCCCAAUUAUCAUUGCAGUCAAUUCUGAACAAUAAGACCAAUCACAGGAGGGCUCCGACCCGAUGUUGUUCAGUUUUAAUCAAUCAUGAUGGGAGGAUGGUGUACAAAUUCAAGUUGUAACUUCAACCAAAACCAAAUCAAAUGAUUCAGUUUGUUUAUUUAUGAACAUAAAAUAAAUAGAAGUAAGCUUGGCUCUUUUACUAUUGUGGUACCAGAUUUUCCAGCAACAAUUACUAUCAGGGGAAAAAGGGGUAAGAACAAAAGUGAAUAUGUACAUAAUAAUCAGGGCAACGAAAAUGUAAGAAAAGGAGCAGAAAUUCAAGAGGGAGUCAGAUAAUCAAGUGCAGAACAUCAAUGACAAUAAGCAUAAUAAAACUGAAACUCCAUCAGACUCACCUUUAGUUUCAAGUGACAAGCUAACAAAUGAGCAUUCGCAAGCGCCCACAAAAUUAGUAGCAGACAGCUUAAAUAAGAGGAGAAGAGCUAGAACUUCAAGCAUCUUAAAACGUAGAAAAGAAACUAGCGUACCAAUUUCUGAAAGAAGGCUGGAUUACCUGUAUGACUGAAACGUAUCUCCACUCUCUCAACUGGUGGACUACAUACCAGUCCAGCUAAGCCCUAAUGGGAGCAAACAAGUUGAUAUUCAGAAGAUGAU